GAUGAACGCUGGCGGCGUGCCUAAUACAUGCAAGUCGAGCGAACGGACGAGAAGCUUGCUUCUCUGAUGUUAGCGGCGGACGGGUGAGUAACACGUGGAUAACCUACCUAUAAGACUGGGAUAACUUCGGGAAACCGGAGCUAAUACCGGAUGAUAUUUUGAACCGCAUGGUUCAAUAGUGAAAGACGGUCUUGCUGUCACUUAUAGAUGGAUCCGCGCCGCAUUAGCUAGUUGGUAAGGUAACGGCUUACCAAGGCAACGAUGCAUAGCCGACCUGAGAGGGGGGUCGGCCACACUGGAACUGCGACACGGUCCAGACUCCUACGGGGGGCAGCAGUAGGGAAUCUUCCGCAAUGGGCGAAAGCCUGACGGAGCAACGCCGCGUGAGUGAUGAAGGUCUUCGGAUCGUAAAACUCUGUUAUUAGGGGAGAACAUAUGUGUAAGUAACUGUGCACAUCUUGACGGUACCUAAUCAGAAAGCCACGGCUAACUACGUG
rnacentral:rRNA from 1 species